CUAAGCCCUCCAGCGCCGAUGGUACUGCACUCGGGAGGGUGUGGGAGAGUAGGACGCCGCCGGAC
rnacentral:rRNA from 1 species